rnacentral:rRNA from 1 species
AGUGAACGCUGGCGGCAGGCCUAACACAUGCAAGUCGAACGAGUGGCGGACGGGUGAGUAAUAUCUGGGAAACUGCCUGAUCGAGGGGGAUAACUAAUGGAAACGUUCGCUACUACCGCAUACCAUCGAAUGUGCCGACGUUGGAUUAGCUAGUUGGUGAGGGAAAGGCCCACCAAGGCGACGAUCCCUAGCUGGUCUGAGAGGGUGACCGGCCACACUGGAACUGAGACACGGUCCAGACUCCUACGGGAGGCAGCAGUGGGGAAUAUUGGACAAUGGGCGCAAGCCUGAUCCAGCCAUGCCGCGUGAGUGAAGAAGGCCUUCGGGUUGUAAAGCUCUUUUGGCAGGAAAGCGGUACCCAAAGAGUAAGCAACGGCUAACUACGUGCCAGCAGCCGCGGUAAUAC